rnacentral:rRNA from 1 species
UGGGGAAUAUUGGACAAUGGGGGAAACCCUGAUCCAGCAAUGCCGCGUGAGUGAUGAAGGCCUUAGGGUUGUAAAGCUCUUUCGGCGGGGACGAUGAUGACGGUACCCGCAGAAGAAGCCCCGGCUAACUUCGUGCCAGCAGCCGCGGUAAUACGAAGGGGGCAAGCGUUGUUCGGAAUUACUGGGCGUAAAGGGCGCGCAGGCGGCCAUCCUAGUCAGGCGUGAAAGCCCCGGGCUUAACCUGGGAAUUGCGUUUGAUACUUGGUGGCUGGAGUUCGGGAGAGGAUGGUGGAAUUCCCAGUGUAGAGGUGAAAUUCGUAGAUAUUGGGAAGAACACCGGUGGCGAAGGCGGCCAUCUGGACCGAAACUGACGCUGAGGCGCGAAAGCGUGGGGAGCAAACAGG